rnacentral:rRNA from 1 species
CCUACGGGAGGCAGCAGUGGGGAAUAUUGCGCAAUGGGGGCAACCCUGACCCAGCGAUGCCGCGUGGGUGAGGAAGUUUUUCGGAUUGUAAAGCCCUAUCAGCUGGGACGAAAAUGACGGUACCUUCCUAAGAAGCCCCGGCUAACUUCGUGCCAGCAGCCGCGGUAAUACGGAGGGGGCAAGCGUUGUCCGGAUUUACUGGGUGUAAAGGGAGCGUAGACGGCGUACCAAGUCUGAUGUGAAAUGCCGGGGCUCAACUCCGGGACUGCCUUGGUAACUGGCAGGCUGGAGUGACGGAGUGGAUAGCGGAAUUCCUAGUGUAGAGGUGAAAUGCGUAGAUAUUAGGAGGAACACCGGUGGCGAAGGCGGCUUGCUGGACGGUAACUGACGUUGAGGCUCGAAAGCGUGGGGAGCAAACAGGAUUAGAUACCCGAGUAGUC